UAUAUGUCACCCUCUUCAGUACACCAUCCUCAUGAAUCCGAAACUCUGUGUCUUCAUGACUGUUGCUUCCUGGACCUUGGGGUCUCUUGAUGGGAUCAUAGUGCUUGCAGCUGUCCUGUCAUUUUCUUACUGCAGCUCUCUGGAAAUUCAUCACUUUUUCUGUGAUGUUGCUGCCCUUUUACCUCUAUCCUGCACAGAAACAUCUGCAUUUGAAAGACUACUUGUCAUUUGUUGUGUGGUAAUGCUAAUCUUUCCAGUUUCAGUUAUCAUACUUUCCUAUUCCCAUGUCCUUCGAGCCGUCAUCCACAUGGGCUCUGGGGAAAGUCGUCGCAAGGCCUUCACUACCUGCUCCUCCCACCUGUCUGUGGUCGGACUCUACUACGGUGCUGCUAUGUUCAUGUACAUGAGACCAGCUUCUAAACAUACGCCAGACCAGGACAAGAUGGUGUCGGCCUUCUACACUAUUCUCAC
rnacentral:lncRNA from 1 species